GAUGAACGCUAGCUACAGGCUUAACACAUGCAAGUCGAGGGGCAGCAUGGCCUAUCUUUCGGGAUGGGCCGAUGGCGACCGGCGCACGGGUGAGUAACGCGUAUCCAACCUUCCCUUUACUGGGGUCCAGCCCGUCGAAAGGCGGAUUAAUCCCCCAUGUUCUCCGUCCCGGACAUCUGUGUCGGAGCAAAGAUUUAUCGGUAAAGGAUGGGGAUGCGUCCGAUUAGCUUGUUGGCGGGGUAACGGCCCACCAAGGCAUCGAUCGGUAGGGGUUCUGAGAGGAAGGUCCCCCACACUGGAACUGAGACACGGUCCAG
rnacentral:rRNA from 1 species